UAAAGACUCUCCUCAUCCCUCCCCAUUAAUUAGUAGUAAGUUUCUUGAUCGAGUCCAAUAUAUAUAUGAUGAUAAAAAGAGGCAAUGGUGGAGGAUCCAAUGGGAGUUCGAAAAUAGGGAGAUUUCUCAAGGAGCAGAGGGGAAGGCUUUACAUAAUUAAGAGAUGCCUUGUCAUGCUUAUUUGCUCGCACCACGACCACGACCACGAUUGACUCAUUUCCCAUUAUAUAUAUAUAUAUAUAUUAUUCAUCAACAUUAUAUCAAUUUAAUUUCUUGCAUUCUUCAACCUGUGAAUAAUUAACUGGGGUGCUUGAGAUUCCUCUUCUUCUUCUUCUUCUUGUUCUGGAUGGAUUACUGUGAACGCUUCUGUAAUUUUUCAGUUUGGUUGGAUUUUUUCUCAGUUUUGGAUCAUCAUCAUCAUUAACUGUCUGAUUCUAUACAUAGUCCACUUGCGACUCAUGCUUCAUUGUUGACUUGCCCGAUUCCAACAUUUCCCAUAUCCUAUAAUAUAUAUAUACACAUAUAUACUUUUUUCCCCCAGUAAAAUACACUAGGAAAAGUCUCAAUUUCACAGUCUGUAUUCGGUCUCGUUGUUAAGAAUUUUUUAUGCCAAGACAUAAGAAUGCGGCGGUAAGAGGCGCUAGACGGCGAUGGCGAUGGCGAUGGCGACGGGCGACGGGCGACGGGCGACGAACCCUAGUCAAUGUUUUCCCUAUAAAUCACGUUCCCAAUUUCAAUCCAAUUGUGUUGAGAACCUAAUUUCAAUCCAAUUAUCUCGGAGUCUCUUCGUCUGUGGCUAGGUCUCGAAAACCCUUUUCCCGAGGGGAAUGGUGGGGGCACGACAAAGGGGGAAUUCCUUCCCGCUACGAAGGCCCCGGCGAUGGAGCGUACUCAUGUUCAACUGUCAAACAAGGUGAGAUUGAAGCAUUAAGCGUCGCAAAUGGUGUUCAUACCUUCAUUGACAAGGUCUUGAUUGCGAUUGUGAGUUUCUGCAUAUACUCUAUUUCUGUGCGAAUGGUGGUUGAGAUCAUUGUGAUAUAUCCUAUUCAGCACUGCACUUAUUCUCCAGCAAUGGGUAAGUUACUUGUGCUUAUCAGUGGAGGAAUUCCUGUUGCAAUGCCAACCGUAUUGGCUAUUACCACGACAAUUAGUUUCCAUCGUCUGUCUCAAGAGUUCUCAGUUGGAAAAUCAAGAUGCCCUUGAUGCAGCAUGAAUGGGGAUGCUUGCUUUGACCCCAAGGAGGCAAGGUCUGGAAUUCAAGAAGUUCAUUUCUUGCCGUUCAGUCCAACUGAUAAGCGCACAGCUUCACAUACAUGUAUAAUACACCGAGCCAGCAAAGGUGCCUCUGAACGGGUACGCCGAACAUCUAUUAAUUUUAUGUUACUGCAAUGCCCUCAAGUUGACUUGAAUUGUCACAAAUUUGGCUUUCCAGAUAAUAAAAUAUUGCAUACAAUAGAUCUGAUAAGACCAUAAAGUUCAAUCUGUCAUUGAUAAAUUUGCUGAGCAUGGAGUACACAAUCACUUGGAGUUGCAGACCAGGUGAACUGAUAAUAUUGUUAACUCGUAGUACAAAGUUUGAUAUUAAAUUAAGACAUGUCUGAUCGUACGACAUGGGAAUUGGUUAAUCUGCUCGAGGUUCCAAAUGGAAGAAAAAUGAAUGCAGAAGGUCCAUGGAAAUUUAUAGGACCCAUGCCGUUUUUCCAUCUCCAAAGCAUGAUAGUGCAGAGACCAUUAUAAGGGCCCUGAAUCUUGGUGUAAUUGUUAAAAUGAUAACUGGUGAGCAUGUUAUAGCUAAGGCUUUUGUAUCUUAAUUGAUGCAAACUAGAAGAUUGACACCCAGAGAUUAAUGAAACUCUAUACAUAUGUAAUGUGCUUUGGUUUGUAACAGGUAGCUAAUUGUGCUAUUUUUGUUGUCAAGGCUGCUGCUGCUGAUCUAGCCUUCUCCAAACUCCAAACAACAGCAGCAAAUCCAGUAGCUGAAUAUUCCUACCCAAUUUAAUAGUCUUUAUGGUAAUUCACUGGAGUCUAGAAAAGUUUUCACUCACUUUUAUAAUUCUCUGCUACUAGCAUCUACAAAGUAGUAACUCUGUAGCAUUAUACUUUAGAACAACUGGACAAGUCACUCCAGCCUUUAAUGAAUGCCCUGCUUUGAAGCUCGAUGCCCUUAUCAUUGUUGGUGUAUCCCUUUUAUUGUCCUUAGUAUCGAAAUUGAUUGCAUUGUUGCAGGUUCUUGAAGCUCAGUGCCCUUGUCAAUUUUAGGGGCAUUCCUUGGUAUCAUAAUAUGCUGCAUUUUAAUAGGUUCCAGUUCUUGGAAUUUUCAUAUUUUGUGUUUGAAUUGUGAGAAGUGACAUGAAAUGCAGAUGCAGCACAACUUGCUGGGAUAUUGCAGAAAGAAAGUGCCUUGCAAUGUGAUUCCUGCUGAAGAGGCUUACAUCCAAGCUUAUGCUAUUUUGACAUCACGAAAAAUAUGUGAUGCAGUUCAAGCAUUGCAAGGACCUCUUGUUGAUCAGUUUUGCAGCAAAUCAUUGCCUCCUAACAUGUUUUUCAUUUCUUUAUCUUUUCAGAUAAAGAUCAUGGUGUCAUCCUAUGCCUUGGGGCUUGUUGGAAGCAUUCUGAAGUGAGAUACAUGGUUUGCUAAGGCAAGGUGUCUCUCCUGACAAUAUUUCUGCUCAGGUCUCCAGGGGCAUCUUCACUGUUUAUGCUAUCUUUCAUCGGGGAACAUCUUAAUGUCCACACAAAUUUGUGCUGGAAGUCCGGAAAGAGGGAGGAAUAAUGCAUUAGCGGAAGUGGUGGUAUAUAUGUCAAGGGUGUACUAUCUUGCACGGUGGGUCGCUCUUUCAGGUCCAUUCAGUCCAAUAAAUCCUAUGAUAAGCCAAUUCAAGCACAAUAUUUUGACGGCUCGUUUUACACGCCCUCGCUCAGUACGGAGCCAGCAGGAGAAUAUGUUGUCGGUUAAAGCCCACACAGCCUAAUGGCCCAUAAUAGCAGAAGCUCUAUAAGCCACAAAUAUUUCAAGGCCCGGCCCAUCGUGAAAGCCCUUCGCUCAGUUGGUCCAUUGCAACAGGGCCACAUGACGUGGUUCAUGCCCAUCAGACAAAACCACACGCAGUAUCCCAGAAUCCGACAGGAUCAUGUGCUGUCAACAAAGACCACUCCAUACAAUGUUUUGGCGGCACGGGCCUAAGAGGCCCAAUAUUGGUAGCAUCAGCUUUUUGGGCCCAAUUUGUUAAAAGCCCAUUAAUUACAGACCCAUAUUUGAGCCGACAAAGACACGUGUGUACUGACCUGUCCAACUGCUGUACGUGUUGUCUCUAAAAAACAGGCAGGACAACAUGCUGUCGGCGCAGGUCACUAAGGCCCAAUAUAUUGGCACAACAGUUUUUGGGCCCAAGUUGUAACGGUCAGGCCCAUAUCACUGGCCCAUAUUAAGCAGACAAAGUCACGUGUGUUACUGUAGAUCUGUCCAACUGUUACACGUGCUGUCCCCAAAAAAGCAGGCAGGCCAUUAAGGCCCAAUGUAGCUUAUCUUUUGGGCCUAUCCAACCCAAUAUAUUUAUCAGUAUCAGCUUUUUGAGGCCAUAUU